UACAGGGAACAGGUCAACGUGCGUGGCUCAAACCAGGCCAGGAGGAAGGCCUUCAGAAGAUUCAAGUCUCAUUUCUCAUUCAAACUUAUUGGGUAUCCUAAGUGCAUUAAACCUUUGAUAACUCUCUUCACCUGUACAAGAUAAAGAAGAACAGUUUAAAGGAUGCUCAGUUUUCUGAAUUCUCAGGGAUUUUUUCAAAGAUGAUAACACUUGGAUGAAAACAAUUCUGAUACAAGGACUUCGGGACUCGACUUUAGAUUUCAUCUGGUUUUUCAGAAAUUUCCUCUCGAUCAAGACAUAGUGAAGAGACUUGAUUAAAGCCACCUUGUUAGCCAGUGGAAAAACCAGAACUGAACCCAGGCCUCCAAUCUUCUUUCUGCUACAAUACACUGACUAGCAAUGAAAAACCAAGGCCUGCCCCAUUUUAA